CGCGGUUAUACCAAGUGAUUAAGUUAUAUUUUUAGGUAAAAAGACAGUUAGGUUUAUGGAAACUGAUUUUAGUUUAUUAAACAUUUAUAAAAAAGUAAAAUUUGCAUAUAGAUAGCUAAUCUAAAAAUAACUAUGUAUACUGAAGCUGUGACAGUCUUGAGGGAAACUGGGAUUAGAUACCCCAUUAUUCUUGAUUGUAAAUAUAAUUAAAUUUACCAGAGUACUAUGAAUAGUUAAAAAUUUAAAACUCAAAGGGCUUGGCGGUGUUUUAGACCUAUCAGGGGAACCUGUCUCGUAAUCGACAAUCCACGCAAUAUCUAACCUUAUUUUGUAAACAGUUUGUAUACCGUCGUCGUCAGGUAACUUUUAAAAACAUAGAAGUUAGCAAUUAAAACUUAUUAGUUAAAACGUCAGAUCAAGGUGCAGCCUAUAAUAAGGAGAGGAUGGGUUACAAUUAUAAGAAUUAUAAUUACGGAAAUUUAAAUGGAACUUAUUUUGAAGGAGGACUUGAAAGUAAACUAAAAUACAUAAAUAGUUUGAAUAAGGCUCUG
rnacentral:rRNA from 1 species